rnacentral:rRNA from 1 species
UACGUAGGCAGCAAGCGUUGUUCGGAAUUACUGGGCGUAAAGAGUGUGUAGGCGGUGCUCUAAGUUCGGUGUGAAAUCUCCCGGCUCAACUGGGAGGGUGCGCCGGAAACUGGGGUGCUGGAGCGCGGGAGAGGAAAGCGGAAUUCCUGGUGUAGCGGUGAAAUGCGUAGAUAUCAGGAGGAACACCGGCGAUGUAGACGGCUUUCUGGACCGUAGCUGACGCUGAGACACGAAAGCGUGGGUAGCAAACAGG